GCCGCAGCAACUGAGCGGUCGAUGUCUGAUUAGCUAGUUGGUGGGGUAAUGGCUCACCAAGGCGACGAUCAGUAGUUGGUCUGAGAGGACGACCAGCCACACUGGGACUGAGACACGGCCCAGACUCCUACGGGAGGCAGCAGUGGGGAAUUUUGGACAAUGGGCGCAAGCCUGAUCCAGCAAUGCCGCGUGAGUGAAGAAGGCCUUCGGGUUGUAAAGCUCUUUCAGUCGAGAAGAAAAGGCUGUGACUAAUAAUCAUAGCUCAUGACGGUAUCGACAGAAGAAGCACCGGCUAACUACGUGCCAGCAGCCGCGGUAAUACGUAGGGUGCGAGCGUUAAUCGGAAUUACUGGGCGUAAAGGGUGCGCAGGCGGUUUUGUAAGUCAGAUGUGAAAUCCCCGGGCUUAACCUGGGAACUGCGUUUGAACUC
rnacentral:rRNA from 1 species